GGAGAUGUAGCUUAGUGGUAGAGUGGCUGCCUAGCAUGCACAAGCUCCUUGGUUCAAUCCCAAGUACUGCCA
rnacentral:tRNA from 1 species